GGGAAGGUGGCUCAGUGGUAGAGUGCUUGCCUUGCAUGCAUGAGGCCUUAGGUUCAAUUCUUCAGCAUCACA
rnacentral:tRNA from 1 species